AGAGUUUGAUCCUGGCUCAGGACGAACGCUGGCGGCGCGCCUAACACAUGCAAGUCGAACGAGCGAGAGAGAGCUUGCUUUCUCAAGCGAGUGGCGAACGGGUGAGUAACGCGUGAGGAACCUGCCUCAAAGAGGGGGACAACAGUUGGAAACGACUGCUAAUACCGCAUAAGCCCACAGGUCGGCAUCGACCAGAGGGAAAAGGAGCAAUCCGCUUUGAGAUGGCCUCGCGUCCGAUUAGCUAGUUGGUGAGGUAAUGGCCACCAAGGCGACGAUCGGUAGCCGGACUGAGAGGUUGAACGGCCACAUUGGGACUGGAGACACGGCCCAGACUCCUACGGGAGGA
rnacentral:rRNA from 1 species